rnacentral:lncRNA from 1 species
UAAACUAGUAGUUGGGCAAGAGGGAACUGGAGAAAGGCCUUCCAGUGACUUAGAAUAAGGUGGCAUAUGACAAAGGAGGAAACAAAUGGUACUUGUGGAUGCCAUUAACAAAUGCCUUAUAUACCUACAGCUGCAUUAUACGAGCACUUUGGAAAUUACAGGAUUGCCAGCUUUGGGACAAAACAACAUUUGUGCUAAACAGCCGGGGUCCUCAUACUUAAAACGAAGGGGACUACUGACCAAAACUGAACUCAUUUCCUACAAAGAUUCCUUGGGAGCUUCUGGUCUGUCCAAUUUUAGGCUUGAAAAAUAGUUGAAGGUUGUACCUUUUGGAUUUUCAAUAGGAGUUGUGUGAUAGUCACUGACUGAGCUAUGACACCGACUAUACCACACAUAGCUCUUGCUGCAAGAACAAAGGGAAUGCCAAAUGGAUGGGAGACGUUUAUCAGGAAAAAGGUAAGAUGGAGGAAAAAAAGCACAAACUAAGUGUUUCAAAAGAGUCCCGACUUUGAUCUCUGAUGGACCUGGCCCCCACUCUGAUACCUUGGCGGAAUCCAGUUUAUCUUUAGGCAUUUGUCUCUCUCAUUUGUCAAAUGACCAUGAUAAAAGUGACCUUCAAAGAGUGAUCCUGAGAAAGAGUCAACAAAUAACUGGAAAGCUCAAAGGAAAGAUGCAUCUCAACACGAAUUUAGAAAAAAAAAAACCAAAAAACAAAUGAGAAGAGACUUUCUAUUCCCAAUAAAAAAGAAGAAAAAAAAACUCCA